UCAAGGGCAGUGUUUUGGCAACUUGGCCUAUGCAUUCAGCCAGCUGGGGGACCACGAGGCCGCGGGGGAGAACUAUCUGCACGCCAUGCAGGCCUUCAAGGAUUCGGAUGACCUCCCUGGGCAGUGGCAGGCUUGUGAAGGGCUAGGAGCAGCCCGCUUCCACUUAGGAGACCCCGAGAAGGCGAUCCUGCAUUACAAGGAGGCACUAACGUUGCUCUCUAAGUGCCGGGAUGUCCCCGAAACGGCCCAGGAGCGGAUCGUGAACAAGCUCACGGAUGCCAUCCAGUACCAGCUCUCUCUGAACAGCCGCUUCUCCCACGGGGGCGGGAUAGCCGCGGCUGCCCCUCUGAAACACUUUCCUGGGAAGUUACAGACCUCCAGUCAGGUCCGGUUUUCCACAGCACUGCACCAGGGGCAUGGGAACAGGCCCCAGGCAUUGCACCAGGGAAGCAAUUCGUCCUUCGUGAAGCACAUCCCCCCAGCAGAGACCACAGAGGAGCAAUAUGAGUCCGUGCUGGGUGCUUCAAUGCAUCCGAGACCUUCUCCACAGCGAAGGGCCCGGGGUGGCUCGCAGCACACUGGGAGGCAGCCUCUGCAGGGACCAAGUUACAGGGCUUCAGAGGUGGGUGCGGCACAGACAACGGUCCUGGCGGAAGGAUCCCCGCUAGAUCACAGAGACCCACGCUGCCGCCCGGUGCUAGCACACAAUCGCUGCGAGGAGCUCAACAGCGCUGUCACGGCUCCAGAAUAUCACAAUCAGCCUCAGGCUAAUAGCAAUUUGAACAACACUUACCUGCACCCGGAUUCUUUCUACUACAACUGCCUGCAGAAUGGGAAUUGCCAUCAUUCAUCGAAAAAUUUCACAGGCCCUCACGACUAUGAAACCCUCCGACUGAGAACGAGGACCCUGGAGCGAGCUGCUGCCAACCCAGCUGGAUGUCUCCCUGGCGAGAGACCGGAGCCCUGGCAACAGCAAAGGAGACGCAGGUUCGAGUCCAUAAUGUGCAUGCUCAUGUGAUGGUAAAUUACAGCGGCUUGGCUUUGCUCUGCUCUGAGUAAACCAGGGAUGCUUAGACAUUGAGUCAUAGCAGGGUGCAGGGCACAUUUACCCUUCUCGGUCUACAAAGCCCUCCACAGACUUCCCCACAACCUCUUCAAGGCACCGUCCUCCUCUCUGUCCCUCCACCACUGGUGCAAGGGCCUUCUCCUCUGCACCCCUCGCCCUCUGGCGCAACCUCCAUCUUGCCGAAUCCCCAGCUCAUCUCGCCUGAGACACGAGACAGGAUGUCUUUCCACAAGUCGUCGGGCUCAGCAUAGGAGUGGCCGAGCGCAAUCCCCCAGCCGUGUAUUAGCCAGACGAGAUGACCAUGGAGGUCCUUCUUGACAUUACAAAUGCACGAUGCAAAUUUAGAUGAUAAACGCUUUGGGGCAGGGAGCGUCGUUUUGUACAGCAGCUUGCACCAUGGGGUCAGGAUAGAGCUCCCGAGUGCAAUGGCUUACACAUAAUAAAAUGCAAAUAUGUCUUUCCUCCCUCCCUCUC
rnacentral:lncRNA from 1 species